AGUGAACGCUGGCGGUAGGCCUAACACAUGCAAGUCGAACGGCAGCACAGUAAGAGCUUGCUCUUACGGGUGGCGAGUGGCGGACGGGUGAGGAAUACAUCGGAAUCUACUUUUUCGUGGGGGAUAACGUAGGGAAACUUACGCUAAUACCGCAUACGACCUACGGGUGAAAGCAGGGGAUCUUCGGACCUUGCGCGAUUGAAUGAGCCGAUGUCGGAUUAGCUAGUUGGCGGGGUAAAGGCCCACCAAGGCGACGAUCCGUAGCUGGUCCGAGAGGAUGAUCAGCCACACGGGAACUGAGACACGGUCCAGACUCCUACGGGAGGCAGCAGUGGGGAAUAUUGGACAAUGGGCGCAAGCCUGAUCCAGCCAUACCGCGUGGGUGAAGAAGGCCUUCGGGUUGUAAAGCCCUUUUGUUGGGAAAGAAAAGCAGCAGGUUAAUACCCCGCUGUUCUGACGGUACCCAAAGAAUAAGCACCGGCUAACUUCGUG
rnacentral:rRNA from 1 species